rnacentral:rRNA from 1 species
AUGUCGCGCGCGAGGUCGAUGGAGAUGAGGCCGGCGCUGCAGCCCAUGCCGGAGAGGUUGAAGCUGCGGAUGUUGCUGCGGAGCUUGUACUUGUUGAUGAUCAUGGCGGAGAGGGAGGGCGUCGGGGAGAAGAGGCUGCAGUUGACGACGAGGAUGUCGAUGUCCUUGGGCUUGAGCCCCGUGCGGCGGACGAGGUCGUCGAUGGCGUUGAAGAUGACGAGCUGCGCCUCGGCGCGGGAGGCCUCCAUGCUGGGGUUGGGCGGGAUGUAGUGGUUGGCCGGCGGGAGGCAGGUCUCCUCCCCGAGCCCCGAGCGCUCGAGGAUGCGGGUCUGGAAGCGGAGGCUCCUGUCGUUGUUGGAGAUGAGCUUGAUGUGCUCCAUGAAGGUGGUGAAGGGCACCCGGAAGCUGGGCGAGGGCUUGUAG